CCUACGGGUGGCAGCAGUGAGGAAUAUUGGUCAAUGGUCGGGAGACUGAACCAGCCAAGCCGCGUGAGGGAGGAAGGUACAGAGUAUCGUAAACCUCUUUUGUCAGGGAACAAAGGCGGGGACGUGUCCCCGGAUGAGUGUACCUGAAGAAAAAGCAUCGGCUAACUCCGUGCCAGCAGCCGCGGUAAUACGGAGGAUGCGAGCGUUAUCCGGAUUUAUUGGGUUUAAAGGGUGGGCAGGGGGUCUGUUAAGUCAGCGGGCAAAGCCCGGGGCUCAACCCCGGCCCGCCGUUGAAACUGGCAGUCUCGAGUUGGAGAGAGGUAUGCGGAAUUCGUGGUGUAGCGGUGAAAUGCUUAGAUAUCACGAAGAACUCCGAUGGCGAAGGCAGCUCACUGGACUGCAACUGACACUGAGGCUCGAAAGUGUGGGUAUCAAACAGGAUUAGAUACCCGGGUAGUC
rnacentral:rRNA from 1 species